AGAGAAACUAGUGGGGCAAGCAGAAAGCAUAUCAAAAUGUCAUUGGUAGAAAGCACCACUGACUGGUGAUUGGAUGCUGUUAACUAGUAGACUCUUACAGAGAUUACAUGAUGUUAAUUGUAGGGGUCACAUAUACUCAGAGUUACUGUUUAUUUAAUUCAUUUUGCCACAUGAUCUUUAUGGAUGCCCAUAAUCUGUUUAGUAACACCAUGACCAGAUAAUCUGACCAAAAAGAUAGCUAAAAUCUGCAAGCUCUUCAUUCAUUAUUAUUGAUUUUCCCUGACAUCACUGACUGCAAAGUCAAGAAAAACAGAAAAGAAACUGCUGUCUCGGUGCUCCUUAUAGUCGAUCAUAAGGAAAUUUCUUCCUUGGUUUUAUAUUUGAAAGGCUACAAGCAAGAUGCUAGUUGGUGAGAAACAAAUCAAGAUGUCCAUGAACGUUUCCUUCUCUUCAGCCCAUGCCAGAAACGGUGACGGUAACCAUUGAAGUGCCAGCCCUUAAGUAUGCCUGAAAUUUGAUGAAGCUUUGGAGGAGGGUACCUCAGAAUUAGACCUGGAUUGCAGUUUAUCUGUUGUAUUGCAAAAACUGUCCAAGAAACAAAGCAGCUGAUACUGGGAAUGUCAAAAUCUGAUGCAUACCUUGUCACUUUAAUUAUUGUAUCACCAUUAAACAAAAGACGCAAUUGUUAAAAUGCUGAGGUCUUGAGGUCUUGGAUUGCCAGCAGGGUUAUUUAUUUGCUUUGUGCGGAUCAUAUUGAUAUAAUAAUCCUGUGUAUUGUGUAUAAUUCUGAGACGAAAACCAUUAAGCUUAUGGUACGUUUUACAACA